CAUGUAGGGCGCAAGCGUUGUCCGGAAUUAUUGGGCGUAAAGGGUGCGUAGGCGGCGCGGUAAGUCGGGUGUGAAAUCUCGGGGCUUAACUCCGAAACUGCAUUCGAUACUGCCGUGCUUGAGGACUGGAGAGGAGACUGGAAUUUACGGUGUAGCGGUGAAAUGCGUAGAUAUCAUGAGGAAUACCAGAGGCGAAGGCGGCUACCUGGACAAUUGCUGACGCUCAGGCACGAAAGCGUGGGGAGCAAAAGGG
rnacentral:rRNA from 1 species